ensembl:lncRNA
CGAGGGUGGGCGAGGGUGGGCGAGCGGGGCGCAAGGCUGGGGAGUCGGCUGCAGGUGGCCCGGCGCCUCCAGGUGAGGGCGUGUACCUCUGGCGGGGGACCCCUCCUCCUUCCCGAAACCCGGGGUCAGGCAAGUCCCGGGAAGGGUCUCAGCGCCUCAAUCAGCGGCUCGGCGGCCAGACAGAUCGCCCAGGGACGAGCGCGCCUGCUCCUCACCCACACGGCCCAUCUCGGGGUGGGGUGGCGCGAAGCGAGGGCUGGGGCCGGCGCCCGAGUGCGGAACCGCACCCUCACACGGAAUUCCUUCUGGGACUGGGAGCAGGCCGAGGCCAGAAACUGAAGCGCAGACAGGGAAGUGAGCCUCUUCACCUCCCUUAUGCUGGAGGACAGGGUGAGGGCACAGGAGCAUCUCAGGGCCACAGUGAUCUGGCUUUUCUGCAGGUGAAGCAUGGAGAGCAUUUCAUGAGCAUGAGAAAUCUAGUUAAACUUCUCUUCUUCAGUUGGAUUCUUGUCAAAGUAAUACUUCCAGGCCAGUGUCUUAUGUGCCUUCUUAAACUUCUCCUGAGUGGCAUUGGAUUUCUCCCUCAGGGCAUCAUGAAGUGGCUUCUUUCACCAGUUUCUGCAGCUGGUGAGUAGUGGCUGGUUUAGGACACCACUGCUGGGCCUCUCAGUGGACAUUCUAGAACGUUCUCUCACAGGAGUUCUUAACGGCAGAUUUACUUCGACAGGAAGCAAAAGAGAUGCGAAAGGAGAAAUACUGUCACACAAGCAGUCACAGUUUGAAGCAUGUGAAGGAUUCGACCUGUCCCUGUUGAUUUGAAGAUGAAGAUAACAGUGUAAUGAGGAAAGCAGGUUGCCUUGGAAGCUGAGAGAGGCCUCUGGCUGACACUGGGAAAUAGAGUCACCUGCCCUGCAACACAAGGGGCUGAAUUCAGCCAACAACCUGAAUGAGGUUGAAGGCAUAUUCAUCUCCCAAGCCUCUAGAAGAAAGAAGCCAUGGACACCUGGCUUUUGGCUUUAUGAAACUCAACUCAGCCACACUCUGGGACUUCUGAAUUACAGAACUGUAAGAAAAUGAAUGAGGGUUUCAGCCAUUAUGUUUAUGGUGCAGUGUCAAUGGGGUACUCAUUCAUAG